rnacentral:rRNA from 1 species
AUUGAACGCUGGCGGCGGGCCUAACACAUGCAAGUCGAGCGAGCGGAGGACGGGUGAGUAAUGUCUGGGGACUGCCCGAUAGAGGGGGAUAACUACUGGAAACGGUGGCUAAUACCGCAUACUGUCGAAUACCCCAUAUGGGAUUAGCUAGGAGGGAAGGUAAUGGCUUACCUAGGCGACGAUCCCGAGCUGGUCUGAGAGGAUGAUCAGCCACACUGGGACUGAGACACGGCCCAGACUCCUACGGAGGCAGCAGUGGGGAAUAUUGCACAAUGGGCGCAAGCCUGAUGCAGCCAUGCCGCGUGUAUGAAGAAGGCCCUAGGGUUGUAAAGUACUUUCAGUCGGGAGGCGUUACCUACAGAAGAAGCACCGGCUAACUCCGUGCCAGCAGCCGCGGUAAUAC